rnacentral:rRNA from 1 species
GACGAACGCUGGCGGCGUGCUUAACACAUGCAAGUCGAACGGAAAGGCCCUGCUUUUGUGGGGUGCUCGAGUGGCGAACGGGUGAGUAACACGUGAGUAACCUGCCCUUGACUUUGGGAUAACUUCAGGAAACUGGGGCUAAUACCGGAUAUGAGCUCCUGCUGCAUGGGGGGGGUUGGAAAGUUUCGGCGGUUGGGGAUGGACUCGCGGCUUAUCAGCUUGUUGGUGGGGUAGUGGCUUACCAAGGCUUUGACGGGUAGCCGGCCUGGGAGGGUGACCGGCCACAUUGGGACUGAGAGACGGCCCAGACUCCUACGGGAGGCAGCAGUGGGGAAUAUUGCACAAUGGGCGGAAGCCUGAUGCAGCAACGCCGCGUGCGGGAUGACGGCCUUCGGGUUGUAAACCGCUUUCGCCUGUGACGAAGCGUGAGUGACGGUAAUGGGUAAAGAAGCACCGGCUAACUACGUG